AAGAAAAAAUUUAAUUAUUUCAAAGAAAAAUAAUAACGAAAUGAAAAAGUUGUUUUUAUAUUUUCGAUUUGUGCGAAGGGCCACAUAACUCGAAAAGUUACCGACCGAGAGAUCACCGAAAUUUGACAAAAAGUUAUACGAUUUGGAUAUAAGCAUAGAUCGUGAGUCGAGUUUCAAGCUUGAGUUUGAAUAAGCAUAGCUCCGAUUGGUGAUUUUGCCUUACUUCGCGGCGUUCGUAUUAACAGUUACAAUAAAAAUUGGACAAAAUGCAAUGCAUAGCAACGAGAGUCUGCUGAAGUACAUAAAAUACGAAAGAAAAUAUAGAGUCCAGAGAAUGAAAUUUCCGAGAGAGCUGGAAGCCAUUUCUGGGUGAAACGGAAUGUCCUGACGGCUUGCAAUGGCAGCGAAAGAAAAUUCACCCGCAAGCGGUAGAGUGGAGUGCAGAUCCCCAGUGUUCACAGUUUCAAUACAAGCUGAGAAGAUAACAGUGUGAUUGAUGUCCUCGUAAGGCUAAAGGCUGACGUCACCGUCGUUCAAGAAGUGCGAUGGACAGGACAGGGACAGAGAAGAGUAGAUCAGCUGUCGGCAAAUUCAGUCUCCAUGACGAAACGUACCCAAAUGGGUUAAGGCUGAUCGACUUCAACGGAGCCCGAAAUAUAAUUGUCUGUAGUGCUAGAUCUCAGCACCAGAAAAUUCAUCUAGCUACGUACGUUCCGAUGACAAAACAUCAACUCGACUUGAAUUACUGAUAUGGGACGACCAACAAAAAUAGGAAAAGGCCGAAAUGUAAAUCAGAGAGGUGAUUAAGGGACUGAUACUCCAGCCUGCUAAAUGGCAGGGAAAAUGGAACCCCAAGAGAAGACGAACCCGUUUACCUAAUGACGCAGCUCGAACACCAGUCAUUUACUCGAAAAACAACAACAGAGCGGCGGAGCCGAUGAUCGGCACACAUCACCUCUUCGCCGAUGCUGAAAGAACCAACGGCAGCAUUGUCUCUAAGCCACUAUGUCCGAAUUUGUUAUCCCCCGCAAAACUUAUAGGCUGCUCUCUGCCUAAUAAGCAACCAAGCGAUACGAAGUUAAAAUUCUUUCUCCCUGAGUAAAUACCGAUGUAUUUACACAGGAAUAACAUAUGUAUGUGCAUACGAGUAUGUCUGUCUGCUUUCGAAGAGACAGCUUAUUGUUAUGCCAAACAAUGCUGCAGGAAAAGCUGAUUUCUCAUUCCUUCACUCUCACAUACAUUGCGUAUGGGGACUAAUAGAUACAUAAAACUUGUCCUUUCAAAAAAAGGAUAUUUUAUAACAACGUUUGUUUCACGCACACACAAACCUAACCAAAUCAAUUGAAUUGGGAAGAUGUGUAUGGAUAUGUAUGUCGGCAGUUGGAAAUUCAUCAUCUGCAGGAAAAAUGUAUUCACUAAAAUUUGAAGCUCCGAAUACAAGCGCCAUGCCUAUUAAUAAAUAACUGCGUUUGUAUGCACACAAAUGACUAAAACUUUGGCUCGAAGCCCGUGGUGGGAUAAGCUUGUGGGACUGCAGUACUGUAACAGCGUUACUCAAUAAGGAUGAGAGAAAGAGAGAAACUCUAUGCAGCAUGAAGUUGUAUAACGCCGAGGGCUCUCAAAAACGACUUUGCUAUUUGGUGCAUGCUUCAGGGAACUUAAAGUUAUUUUAAUUUAUGCAUUGUCGCUUAAUAUAUAUAUUUUAGCAUACUUUUAGGCACA